rnacentral:tRNA from 1 species
GGCGGGUUGGCCGAGUGGUUUAAGGCAGCUGACUUGAAAUCAGCCGAUCCUUCGGGGUCCUAGAGUUCGAAUCUCUAAUCCGCCUC